ACCAUACAAUGCGGUAAACCGCAUGUGUCCUAGAAAAAUAAAGUAAACAGUUAACAAGUGUAUAUAAGGCUUAUUGAACAACGUAUUGUUCAACAGUAAGACAGCAAACUUGGCAGAUGCAAAAUUACUAAAAUACAGUUUCUUUGUGUUUAGAUAAGUCGGCAAACAUGGCGUUUAAAGCGUGCGUUUUGUUAAUUGUUCUCCUGUCAGUCUGUGGACUUCCUCUAGCACUUGCCGCCGGUGGGUCAAGUUGCUGGGCGGCACCAGCCAGUAUUUUUGGGCCAACAUGCAGUUCUGACACAUCUAUAUGGGGAAGUCCCGGCCACAAAAUUCGGUAUUCAGUCAGUGUAAGCGGGAGUACACUAAUAUGUUGCAAGGCAUUCCAUUGUAAAGGUAAUAACUGCGACCUGUACGAUGCCGGAUGUGGCCACGGGAGUUGGAGUACCACCAUGUUGACGUGGGGCAAUAAUCUUGCUACACCAAAGAUGAAAUGUAAAGGCAUUCCUUUGGGAUCAUUUUACUCAUUUACGCACUAAUAGUGCAUUACACAAACACACAGUAACUAUUUCAAUACCUGUAAAUGAUAAACUUGACUAAUAACUGUAACACAGUUAUGGGUACGUUUUCAAAGAAUGGUCAUAAAUAAAACAUUUCUUAUUUAUCUAAAUAUGGAAAUAGUAUUGCAAAGUUACUUUUAUCAUCACAUCACAGUACGACAAGAAAUGAAAGGAAAAGUGAAUUAUGUAAAAUAAGUGAAGAUGAAUACAAUUUGAUCAUGAUUUGUCAACUAUUAAUAGUGCAGAAUAUUCCUUAUUGCACACAACCAAGUACGGAAAAAGUUAAAGAUCUUUUAAAAUGUCGCACACAUAUUUGUAUUCAAUAAUUCAAUCUAAUUAAAAUACCAAUAGUUUACCUAGCGUGAAAUAUGCCAGUUAGCAGGCUUCUCGAUAUUUUAGUGUAAAGGGAAACAACUACAACGGCAUACAAGGCGUAUAAUCAAUACCGGCAUGAGUUGCGGUUCUCGUAUAUUUUACGCUCAAAGAUGGGGAUGCGAAUAUAGCCAUAAAUAAUUGAUAUAUUCCUUAGAUAAACAAAUAAACAAUUUUACUUUGUUUGUCUGCCCUGAAAAUAUAUUUUUCAACGGAAGUUAAAAUUUAGGAUAUUUUGUUAUUUUGUUUAAAUGUUGUUUGAAAAUACAUUUCAAAUGUCAAUUCAUCAAAUAAUAAAUUUAUAGAAUUCAGAUCAUCGUUGUGUUGUCACCUACACCAGGUAAUUAUUCAUACUAGCAACAUUCCCUACAGGUCCUGGAACAAGUUACUAUAACUUGAUAGCAUUUUCCACUACCGUUUAUUUAAUAUCUGUUUACGAAUAAACAGUUGAAUAGUAAUCAUCUAGUUUGAGGUAGCGUCUGUCUAGCACUGUCAGUUGUAAGAAUAUCAGCUUCCAAAGACAGACACUUUAAGAGUUCUGCACCGUUUGAUGGACCGGAAGAAAUGGCGAAACGUCAUUUAUCCAGAUAACGUAGAAUUAAGCCUGAAUUCGGCAUACGGAAAUGAAAAGUAUUUUUUAAAUUAAUGGCAACUCGGAUCGUUAGACUAUCUUUCUACAGAUGAAAUACGAUAUCAAAACGUUUGCAACGUUGAAUAAUUAAAACAAAACUUUUUCAGGACCAUUCAUCAUCAUUAUUGUCAUUUCAUUUCCCCCUCGAUAUCAUACGAUAAAACUUGUAUUUUCUUACUUGCAAGCAAACAAUUUUAAUUUUAGCUUUUUACGUAAUCGGUCUAGUUUCGAUAGGGGACAUCAAUCACGACCUAUCCAAAUCCGUACCAGUCUGUACCAGUUACAACAACAAUAACGACAAAUCACAACUGGUAUAAUUCACAUUAGGCUGAAUAUAUUAACAUACUAAUUCAGUUAAACAUUAUUUAUAACAACAAUGAACAAAGUGGUUUAUAUUUGAUUAAGUUAUGCUAAACAACAAUUCUAACUCCACACUUGCUUGUUGUAGUUAUCUCUAUAAAAUAUAUCAAUGAAACUUUUACGCACUGUUUAAUGACCUGGUAAGUUAUAUACAUAUUACAUAGAUAGCAAAUAUGCAUGAAGUCAUUGAGCUUUGACGGUUAAAAUAGGAUAACACAAAAACAAAAUGUCACGAAAUGAUAUUACUUUGUGGUCGCUACGCAGUCCUCGGGAUAAGACAUUUUUGCAACCAAUCUUAUAGCUUAUAUUCUUACGGUAGUUGAUUGGUGCUCAAUGCCUUUAUUCGCCCAGUGACCCGGCGAUUUAUUCGCCCAGUGACCCGGCGAAUCGAAAA
rnacentral:lncRNA from 1 species